UCUAUUUUGUCAGAAAAAUGUAAUGAAUUUAGGAUUCAUUUAUAUAUGAAACUAUUCAUAUAAAUAGAA
rnacentral:tRNA from 1 species